rnacentral:tRNA from 1 species
AUUUAAAUAGCUUAUAAUUAAGAGCAUAAUAUUGAAGAUAUUAAGGAGAUAAACUUAUCUUUAAAUA